rnacentral:rRNA from 1 species
UACGUAGGGGGCUAGCGUUAUCCGGAAUUACUGGCGUAAAGGGUGCGUAGGUGGUUUCUUAAGUCAGAGGUGAAAGGCUACGGCUCAACCGUAGUAAGCCUUUGAAACUGAGAAACUUGAGUGCAGGAGAAGGAGAGUAGAAUUCCUAGUGUAGCGGUGAAAUGCGUAGAUAUUAGGAGGAAUACCAGUUGCGAAGGCGGCUCUCUGGACUGUA